GACCUUUCGGGAUACCUGCCCACUAUGUCUAUCCGCAGGCUUUUGUGCAGCCGGGAGUGGUCAUUCCACACGUCCAGCCGACAGCAGCUGCCGCCUCCACCACCCCUUACAUUGAUUACACUGGAGCUGCAUACGCACAAUACUCAGCAGCUGCUGCUGCUGCCGCCGCCGCUGCUGCCUAUGACCAGUACCCCUAUGCAGCCUCUCCAGCUGCUGCAGGAUAUGUUACUGCUGGGGGCUAUGGCUACGCAGUCCAGCAGCCAAUCACCGCAGCGGCACCUGGGACAGCUGCCGCCGCCGCUGCAGCAGCUGCUGCCGCUGCAGCAUUUGGCCAGUACCAGCCUCAGCAGCUGCAGACAGACCGAAUGCAAUAGACCAGCCAUCUGAUCAAAGUUGAAUUGUUUUCUCUUUCCCUCCCAAUUUUCCAAUUUUUAGUAGCUAAUAAGAGAGUUAACAUUGACUUAACAGCUUUAAAAAAAAAAACAGCCAUGCUAUUGUGAAGCAGAGUUAUUAUUUUUUUUAUACUCCAGGUAGUGUUCUAGAUGAGAAAGAGGUAAGAAUGAGGGGAAUGGGCACAAUUUUGGAAAUCAAUCCCAAAGAGCCUGAGUAAAUGAAAGGCCACUACGAAAUGACGCCAGGAGUAACAACGGAACUUCACUUUUGUAACGGGAUUUUUAUUUUUGCUCUUUUUAUAGUAUCAGGGAAGCAAACUGCCUUUUACAAGUUAGAAAAUGCUGUUUGAAUCUAGUUGAACCAGGGAAUACAGAGCGAGCAAUAUGUAGCUUGAAUUACAUUUAAAAGCAGAUUUUUUACAAACAAAAUGGCGAAAGCACUGAUUGUCAUUUUUAGCAGUCACUUAAGGCCUAUAGAACUUUUUUCAAGUCGGAAGGUCCUGUUCUUACUAUCUCAAAAAUGGGCAUCGAACAAUCAAUCUAGGAGCGUGGCAGUGGGUAAAAUGGUGGACAGGCACCAAAGCUAUUUUCUCAUCUGUCCUGUGGAUGAGUGGAACUGUGGAACAAGUGAUGUGGAAUUAAUGGGUGCAACAGCUGUACAGACAAUCAAUAACACACACAGUUCUGGAAAGAACACAUCACUUGUGCUUGUUUGAUGAGCUUGUCACAUUCUAAUCCCUCUCCCCAUCCUGUUUCAAUUUUGGGAAACUUGUAUCUGCUGGUGUCAGCAAUUCUGAUUCUGAAAUAGGAUCAGGCUUUUACUACAACAGCCUUCUCUUUCUAUUUAUUGUGUCGACUCGUGGCUUAUGAAUAAAGGCAGGCAAAGUUUGCAGAACUGUCUUAAGGACAUUUAUUUUUUUUCCCUUUUUAAGUAAUUUUACACUUUAGUAUCUAUUUCAGAGUCAUAUUUAAAACUAUUUAUUAGUGACUACAGUACAUGAGACAACAAGGUUACUGAGAUUACAAUUCUUCAAAGGUUAAUGAUAAUGUGGUUUAUACUGUGCCUUAAUAGUAAUGCUAUUUAAGAUAUUUAUUUUUAAGUUUUACUAUGCUGCACUCUAAAGAAAGGAACUUUAGAUGUGACACUGUAAAAUUAUGUAUUCAUCUCAUGGCAUAAAUUAUUUAGUAAGUCUAGAUGUAGCGUAUUAAAUAUUAACCUAUUCAACUAAAGAUGUUGACUUGGAUUUAUUUAAAUUCAUAUGUGCACUGUAUAAGAGAGUACUCUUACAUUAACACAUUUUAGUUUAGUUUUUAGAUUUUUUUUUAAACGAUAUAUUGCUAGUUUCAUGCUUCCUCCUCUGAUUUUGCCUGUGUAGAUUUCAUUUAUUGGUAAUUCAUUAGUUUAACACUAUUAUGUAGUUUUUAAAUGCUGCUUUACAUUUUUCUUCUGAAACUGCAAUACUUGCAAUUUUUAUUCUUAAACUAAAUUGAAUACUAUUUUACACUGUAUUGGAUUUUUAUACUUGAACAAUUUCAUACAAGGGAAGACAGGUUAGCAUUUUUAUGGACUUUCUCCAUUAUCACUGGAUUUACUUUAAGUAUUCCCAUACUAGACAGUGUUAUGUAAUGUAGACAUGACUCUCCUGUGCAAAUUAUUUAUUCGUUGUGUAUAUUGCUUUAUAACAUUUCAGAUCUUCUAAUCUAUUCACUUGUAUUAAAUAUAAUUUUUAAAAAC
rnacentral:lncRNA from 1 species